GCGUUGUUCGGAUUUACUGGGCGUAAAGGGCGCGUAGGCGGCGCGGUAAGUCACUUGUGAAAUCUCUGAGCUUAACUCAGAACGGCCAAGUGAUACUGCAGUGCUAGAGUGUGGAAGGGGCAAUCGGAAUUCUUGGUGUAGCGGUGAAAUGCGUAGAUAUCAAGAGGAACACCUGAGGUGAAGACGGGUUGCUGGGCCAACACUGACGCUGAGGCGCGAAAGCCAGGGGAGCAAACGGG
rnacentral:rRNA from 1 species